rnacentral:rRNA from 1 species
CCUACGGGGGGCUGCAGUGGGGAAUAUUGCACAAUGGGCGCAAGCCUGAUGCAGCCACGCCGCGUGUGUGAAGAAGGCCUUCGGGUUGUAAAGCACUUUCAGCGGGGAGGAAGGCGUUAAGGUUAAUAACCUUGUCGAUUGACGUUACCCGCAGAAGAAGCACCGGCUAACUCCGUGCCAGCAGCCGCGGUAAUACGGAGGGUGCAAGCGUUAAUCGGAAUUACUGGGCGUAAAGCGCACGCAGGCGGUCUGUCAAGUCGGAUGUGAAAUCCCCGGGCUCAACCUGGGAACUGCAUUCGAAACUGGCAGGCUAGAGUCUUGUAGAGGGGGGUAGAAUUCCAGGUGUAGCGGUGAAAUGCGUAGGGAUCUGGAGGAAUACCGGUGGCGAAGGCGGCCCCCUGGACAAAGACUGACGCUCAGGUGCGAAAGCGUGGGGAGCAAACAGGAUUAGAUACCCGAGUAGUC